rnacentral:misc_RNA from 1 species
AAAAUUACAAGGAAGAAAUCAAAAGAUAAAAUGAGCAUAUUAUAGCCUUUCUGUCCUGAAGAAUGUCCCCAAGGAACAGAAACUUCAGAUAGAACCCCAAAAGUAUAAACCCAAAAAUGCCAUAAAAACUUUUAUUCCACAGUAAUUCUGCUGGCAAAACUUAUUCCCAAAAUCUUAGUUUUUCCUAGCAGCCAUGCAUAUCGGUACCAAUCUAGCAUAAAAAUAAAGCCUUUUUGCCUUCUUCCACAAUGUCUGGA